rnacentral:lncRNA from 1 species
AUUUAAUAGACAUAUUGUUUGAUUUACCUUAGGAUGAAGAAAACCCAGACAAUCAACACAGAAUUAAAACCUCCAGAGACAAUAGAGUUGGACAAUUUUCAGAGCUAUGAGAAUGAACACGUUCAACACAGAGAAGAAAGAAGACUCACAGGAGGAAGAAGACCUGAUGAGACGUCCAGUGAUGUUGAAGUAUCAUGCACAUAAAAUUUGGUGCUGAAAUGUCUCUAACAGCAUAAAUACGGAGCACAUGUGGAGCUCACUUACAUCCUCUGUGAUGCAUCCAAAGUCCACAAAACCACAAUGAAAAUGACAAGUGAGUUCAUUCAUCAUUAUCAUCAUCAUCAUCAUCAUCAUCAACCACAUAUGUACAGAUCUUCACAGAAGAACCAUAGACUGAGUUCAGACUCUCCUACAGAAUAGAUGAUGCCUUUUUAAUUAAAAAAAAAAAGUUAUUAUUAUUAUUAUUAUUAUUAUUAUUAUUAUUAUGUUACAGCCGGUGGGCUGUCCUGCUUCAUCUCCUCCUGUUAGUCUGUCUUAACCUUUUCUUAUAUUGUGAGAGGCUGAGUCUGGUUCUCCAAACUUCCUUCCUCCCUCCUCUGUUUCUCUGAUGUGGAGAAAGCCGAUUGGAAGAUGCCAGCACCCACCUGAGCCCCGCCCACCAGCUCAUCAUAUUUAACUGCCUCCAGAUGACUGCUCUUUGCCACUGUCGUGUGUUCAUGGCUUAGUUUGGUUUCGUGUUUGAUCAUUCUGCUUGUGUCUUGUUGUGAACUCUGACUGCUCAUUUUAGAUAAAUAUUUUUAAGACCAGCUUUCUGAUUGUCUAAUCCAGAGAAUUUUUUUUCUGUUCCAGUACCUGAGUGUGUCCACCAGCUGCUGUGAGUUUUUGUUGGUUAGCUUUCUUUGGUUUGUAGAUUUUGCCCACUGUUACACAGUGUGAGCGUAGUGUUUUGUUUUUCCUUUUUGGCCUGUGUUAUAUUAAUUGCAAAACUUUGUAAGAUUGUAACUUUAAAAAGAGUGGCCUUCUUGAGUAGAAGUAGUUUUAUUUUGUGUUAGAUUUUCCCUCGUCUAGUUUAGCCACCAUGCACUGUGACCUCUUUGUUGUUCAUUAUUUGGUUAGGUAGAAGUGGUUCUCUUUUUGUUAUUGAAUAUUUCUUCUGGGCUCACCACUAGCCCCAGGUAGGAUAGCUUCAUUUUGGUUUCUUUUGGCAGUGCCUGCUCUUUCUGGUCUGUAUUUAUUUCUGAGUAUUCAGACUAAGUGCUACAAAUAAAAGAAAAUUG